rnacentral:hammerhead_ribozyme from 1 species
ACACUGCUGAGGAGUCGAACAAUAGGACGAAACGGCCGUCCAGUAC